rfam:Schistosoma mattheei strain Denwood, Zambia genome assembly, scaffold: SMTD_contig0006374
GCACUACUGAAGAGUCCCACAAUAACAGGACGAAACGACCGUCGAGUGC